rnacentral:rRNA from 1 species
GACAGAGGCCUCAAGCGUUAGGCGGAAUCACUGGGCUUAAAGCGUGUGUAGGCGGAUCGUUAAGUGUCUUGUGAAAUCCCACGGCUCACCCGUGGAACUGCUGGGCAUACUGGCGAUCUUGGGCCAACUAGGGGCAACUGGAACAAGCGGUGGAGCGGUGAAAUGCGUAGAUAUCGGGAGGAACACCAGUGGCGAAGGCGACUACCUGGCCUGUUCUUGACGCUGAGGCGCGAAAGCUAGGGGAGCAAACGGG